GUAAGGAAUUUUUUGUGGGGAUCAAGACAAGGAAAGAGGAAGACCCACUGGACUGCUUGGGAGAAGAUAAUUGAACCCAAACAACGGGGUGGCCUUGGAUUUCAUGACUUUAGACUCUUUAACCAGGCCUUACUGGCCCGACAAGCUUGGCGACUCAUAGAACGACCAUACUCUCUAUGCGCCAUGCUGCUCAAGGCAAGGUAUUAUCCUAAUGGGUCACUUGUUGAUACGUUAUUUGCAGGUAAUGCCUCGUCAUCAUGGCAUGCAAUAUUGUAUGGGUUGGAGUUGCUUCGAAAAGGUCUGAUUUGGUGCAUAGGUAAUGGCGAGCUCAUUAGAGUGUGGCCUGAUCCUUGGAUACCCAGGCCAACUUCCUACCGGCCUAUUACUCUCAGACGCAACAAUAGUAUUCGGCGAGUAUCUGAGCUACUAGAUGAUAAUGGCAGAUGGAACCGUGAUCUUCUCCGGCAAAUUUUUAUGAUGAUGGACGUCUUGGAGAUCCUGAAAAUCAAGGCAUCUCCUCGGCGCCUCAACGACCUCUUGGCUUGGGCGCCCGAACAGCACGGUAUCUUCACCGUGCGAUCUGCCUAUCGUCUCGCCUUGGAGGAAAAAGCCCGCACUUCCAUGUGCGCCACGAGUAGGGCACUGGACGGCAACCGCGCCAUUUGGAAGAUAGUGUAG
rnacentral:rRNA from 1 species